rnacentral:lncRNA from 1 species
GUCACUACAGCUUUAUGUUUUGGAGAAUGACAAGUAAAUUGAACGAAGCAGUGUGUAACAUCUUUAAGACCGGCUUCACUCAGCACAGUGUCUCUGAGAUUCAUCUUAGAUGCUGCCAUGGUAACCAACGCCUGUAGCCUGGAUGCCCAGAGGCCCUCGAUCUGUCCUGAGGAUUUUGGAACACAGACCAGCUGGGCAUUUUUGUGCAUGCAAGACCUGCCUUGGCAAUGAUCUUAAGAUGUCACUGUAGCGUUUACAUCUUUUAUUUCAAGAUUUAAAUAACUAGGAAGUAGCUAAUGUAAUUCACUGCUGAGAAGAAAGGCGAGCUCCUAGAUUCCUUUCCAAAGCGAUCUCCUCCUAAUGAACUUCUCUGGACUGUGAGUAAUGAGGCUUUAUUCAAAUAAUGUUUAAGGAAGGCUCUGUCAGUGUAAUUUCUAAAAAAGGGACCAAUGUUUAAUACAUUUGAAACAUCUCUAUUCAUACGAUAUUAGCUCAGGCAAGCCCACAGCAGCACUUGCCAAGGAGAAUUCUGUGUUGGUCUUUCAGAGGAGAGAGCCCUCAACUUGGCCUGGGCCAAGCCCC